rnacentral:rRNA from 1 species
GAUGAACGCUGGCGGCGUGCCUAAUACAUGCAAGUCGAGCGAACGGACGAGAAGCUUGCUUCUCUGAUGUUAGCGGCGGACGGGUGAGUAACACGUGGAUAACCUACCUAUAAGACUGGGAUAACUUCGGGAAACCGUAGCUAAUACCGGAUAAUAUUUUGAACCGCAUGGUUCAAAAGUGAAAGACGGUCUUGCUGUCACUUAUAGAUGGAUCCGCGCUGCAUUAGCUAGUUGGUAAGGUAACGGCUUACCAAGGCAACGAUGCAUAGCCGACCUGAGAGGGUGAUCGGCCACACUGGAACUGGGACACGGUCCAGGCUCCUACGGGAGGCAGCAGUAGGGAAUCUUACGCAAUGGGCGAAAGCAUGACGGAGCAACGCGGCGUGAGUGAUGAAGGUCUUCGGAUCGUAAAACUGUGUUAUUAGGGAAGAACAUAUGUGUAAGUAACUGUGCACAUCGUGACGGUACCUAAUCAGAAAGCAACGGCUAACUACGUG